AAGUAAGGUCCAAUCAGUGCAGAAGUAGAGGGUGGGAAGCAGCUUUCACUGUGGGUGAAAUAGAACCAAAUGGUGGGAGAAACAGUCAUCAGAACACAGAGACGCAGAGUUGGGAGGGAGUGUGACCCGAAAGGAACGGCAACACAGCUGAAUGUCCCGUAUUCACACUGCCGGUGACUAUUCAGCUUCAGCAAAGCGACAUCGUGUUCGUCACUAACUUAAAGUGGUUACCUUGAUGCCAUGGCACCAUACUUUGGACACUGUGCUCUGGGGAGACGGCUACACAGGUAAAGUGGCAUUCUUCUCCUGUUCCACGAAGGGCAGAUGCUAUCAACACGACUUAUCAGGAUGGAUGUAAACUUCGAUCACUAUCCGUUUCUCCACCAUAAAGUUCCUCCCGCCUUUCCGUGCUGUGUUCUUGGGAAUCAGAAAAGACGAGACCAGUUGUCCAGUACAUGUCACCACAUCGCGGCUCAGUGGCCAAGCCCAAGAAAGACACCUGUGCACCCGCUGCUGACGUCUGAAACCCUCACAGCCACACUCGUGUGCCAUCCAGGCUUCUUUAAGCUGCAGGCGACAGAGUCCCAACUCAAAGUUGCUUGAGCAAAACGGAACUUUUAUCGGCCCAAGGAGCUGAAAAGUCCACAGCGAGCCAGGGCAAGUGCAGCUUGACUCAGGACUGCUUUUCCCUUUGUCCUCGUCCGCAGGCAGGCUCUCCCCCGGAAAACAGGAUGGCAACGGCAUGUGCAUGUGCGGGGGGCUGGGCAGGCAGGGAGGGGGCAGGCCCCCGGGCAUCACUCUUUACUCUGGGGUCAGUGGCCGGGGCAGCCUUGGGAGGAACUGCGAGCAUGAGAAUGGCCUGAUUAGAUCUGGGUUCUGAGAUGAUCAUGCCAGCCAUGGUGCGGAGCCAGAGAGAUAAUUAAAAAAAAAUAAAAUCUUGCUCGAAAAAGCCCUUUCUUUUAAACAGAGUUGGCACGAGGCAGCAUUCUGGGCUCCUUUUUAAGGAUCUCAUGUCUUCCCACAAGUCCCUGAGAAAAAUGCGUCUCAGUUAAGAUUUUAUGUCCCAAACAACAGCGGCUUAAGUAAGAGAAAAGUUUGCUUCUCUUUUGUGAAAGGUGGUCGAGGGCUGGGGAGCAGCUAAGCGAUGGAGAGAAAUGUGACCUCCUUGUAUUGUCCUGCCGCACCUGCCCAGUCCUCACUCACCUGUGGUCCAGGCUUCAACCCUCACACCUGCACCCCAGACACAGGAAAGGGGGGGAUAGGGGUUCACCUCCUGGUCUGGCCAGCUUUCCCAUUUUUCCCAUUUUCCUGACACGACAUUUCUUCUUACAGAUCAUCC